rnacentral:rRNA from 1 species
UACGUAGGGGGGCAAGCGUUGUCCGGAUUUAUUGGGCGUAAAAGAGCGUGUAGGCGGCUAGAUAGGUCCGUUGUGAAAACUCGAGGCUCAACCUCGAGACGUCGAUGGAAAACCAUCUGGCUAGAGUCCGGAAGAGGAGAGUGGAAUUCCUGGUGUAGCGGUGAAAUGCGCAGAUAUCAGGAAGAACACCGGUGGCGAAGGCGGGGUCUCUGGGGCCGAUAUUGACGCUGAGGAGCGAAAAGCGUGGGGGAGCGAACAGG